rnacentral:misc_RNA from 1 species
GUUUUUGUGGUGGGAGGAGGCAACUACAUUGAAUAUCAGAAUCUUGUUGACUACAUAAAGGGGAAACAAGGCAAACACAUUUUAUAUGGCUGCAGUGAGCUUUUUAAUGCUACACAGUUCAUAAAACAGUUGUCACAACUUGGACAAAAGUAACACAGAAGAACCUUACUAUGAUAAUCUACUUGGAAUGUGGAUAAAUGUAAAAAGAAG